rnacentral:rRNA from 1 species
UACGGGGGGAGCAAGCGUUGUUCGGAUUUACUGGGCGUAAAGGGCGCGUAGGCGGUCAGCACAAGUCAGUUGUGAAAUCUCCGGGCUUAACUCGGAAAGGUCAACUGAUACUGUGCGACUAGAGUGCAGAAGGGGCAACUGGAAUUCUCGGUGUAGCGGUGAAAUGCGUAGAUAUGACAUAGAACACCAAUUGCGAAGGCAGCUCGCUACACAUAUAUUGACGCUGAGGCACGAAAGCGUGGGGAUCAAACAGG